rnacentral:rRNA from 1 species
GAACACCGGCACCCCGAGUGGUCGGGACGUUUAUUGGGCCUAAAGCAUCCGUAGCCGGUUCUACAAGUCUUCCGUUAAAUCCACCUGCUCAACAGAUGGGCUGCGGAAGAUACUAUGGAGCUAGGAGGCGGGAGAGGCAAGCGGUACUCGAUGGGUAGGGGUAAAAUCCGUUAAUCCAUUGAAGACCACCAGUGGCGAAGGCGG